AUACGUAGGGGGCGAGCGUUGUCCGGAAUUACUGGGCGUAAAGGGUGCGUAGGCGGCCCUUUAAGUCAGAUGUGAAAGCCCGCAGCUUAACUGCGGAAUUGCAUUUGAAACUGGAGGGCUUGAGUGUCGGAGAGGGUAGUGGAAUUCCCAGUGUAGCGGUGAAAUGCGUAGAUAUUGGGAGGAACACCAGUGGCGAAGGCGACUGCCUGGACGAUAACUGACGCUGAGGCACGAAAGCUAGGGGAGCAAACAGGAUUAGAUACCCUGGUAGUCCUAGCCGUAAACGAUGGGUACUAGGUGUAGGUGGUUUCGAUACCAUCUGUGCCGUAGUUAACGCAUUAAGUACCCCGCCUGGGGAGUACGUGCGCAAGCAUGAA
rnacentral:rRNA from 1 species